UACGUAGGGUGCAAGCGUUGUCCGGAAUUAUUGGGCGUAAAGAGCUCGUAGGCGGUUUGUCGCGUCUGCUGUGAAAACUCGGGGCUUAACUCCGGGUCUGCAGUGGGUACGGGCAGACUAGAGUGCGGUAGGGGAGACUGGAAUUCCUGGUGUAGCGGUGAAAUGCGCAGAUAUCAGGAAGAACACCCGUGGCGAAGGCGGCUCUCUGGUACGUGACUGACGCUGAGACGCGAAAGCGUGGGGAGCGAACAGG
rnacentral:rRNA from 1 species